rfam:Candidatus Levybacteria bacterium CG2_30_37_29 cg2_3.0_scaffold_17_c, whole genome shotgun sequence.
UAUGUGCAUCAGAACUAUAAUAGGCCAUAGGAAGUCAGCUGAUUCCAUAGUACCUUCAGAUUAUGUAUAAUUUUAAUGUGGAGGGAAGGGA